GAUGAAGAACGUAGCGAAAUGCGAUAAGUAAUGUGAAUUGCAGAAUUCAGUGAAUCAUCGAAUCUUUGAACGCACAUUGCGCCCCUUGGUAUUCCGAGGGGCAUGCCUGUUCGAGCGUCAUUAUAACCCCUCAAGCUCGGCUUGGUGUUGGGGCCUGCCGCACGGGCAGCCCUUAAAAUCAGUGGCGGUGCCAUCUGGCUCUAAGCGUAGUAAUUCUUCUCGCUAUAGAGUCCCGGUGGAUGCUUGCCAUUAACCCCCAAUUUCAAAGGUUGACCUCGGAUCAGGUAGGGAUACCCGCUGAACUUAAGCAUAUCAAUAAGCGGAGGA
rnacentral:misc_RNA from 1 species